rnacentral:rRNA from 1 species
UACGGGAGGCAGCAGUGGGGAAUAUUGCACAAUGGGCGCAAGCCUGAUGCAGCCAUGCCGCGUGUAUGAAGAAGGCCUUCGGGUUGUAAAGUACUUUCAGUCGUGAGGAAGGUGUUAAGGUUAAUAACCUUAGCAAUUGACGUUAGCGACAGAAGAAGCACCGGCUAACUCCGUGCCAGCAGCCGCGGUAAUACGGAGGGUGCGAGCGUUAAUCGGAAUUACUGGGCGUAAAGGGCACGCAGGCGGUUAAUUAAGUUGGAUGUGAAAUCCCCGGGCUUAACCUGGGAAUGGCAUUCAAGACUGGUUAGCUAGAGUCUUGUAGAGGGGGUUAGAAUUCCAUGUGUAGCGGUGAAAUGCGUAGAGAUGUGGAGGAAUACCGGUGGCGAAGGCGGCCCCUGGACAAAGACUGACGCUCAUGUGCGAAAGCGUGGGGAGC